GCAGAUUUCCAAGUCCAGCUUGCCUUUUGCAUUCUUUACAGCAACAAGAAUGCCCCGGACUGACUCGGUGUGGUUUGUAAGUGAGUGUAGUGAAGCUGCCUCCCACCUGCCUCUGAAGAAAACUUGGUGUGGUGCAUCAGGGCGCUGCGGACUUGAGAAGCUGCUGUCAACAAACCCAAGGAGACAAGAAAGAGCCCACGGCCCUUUGGUGAUUGACAGAUUCAGUCACUUAAAUGCUGAGCCCAAAGCUGAAGCCUGAGCAGGGUCUGCUUCACAGAACUAUGUGAAAACCAUUGGAAACUGUUUUCAUUUUAGCUUGUCAUUUAAAAAUAUCAUCCAUCCUAGGACGAUUCAUUCCCAGGACUUUAUAUAACAUGCAAAGUACUGUGAAGGGAAUAUUUUUAAUGUAUCUGCAAUUUGCUUUAGUAUCACAGAGUGAGAAGAAUGUCUUAAUUAGCUCGCUUUUCCCCAUUUCUGUAGCCUGUACUAUAGAUACAGAUAAUACUAUUCAAGAGGGAACAGAAGGUUGCAUUUUCAUUUGGAGUUGGCAAGUGGCACAUCAUUUCCAGAUUUAUGAAGGUGAAAAGCUCUAUAAAAACAGAAAAAUUUCUAUAUCUGCCAUAUUUACAAGAAUAUUGCUAAAUGCCCUGAAAACACAGAGAAAGAAAUGUCUACGUAAAGAAAUCUUUCAGGCAGCUUUUGUGUUUGCCUGGAUUUCUGUCUUUCUGAUGGAUUCCUACAGGUCAUAGAUCCUUUUAAAACAACGGUUGUAAAAGGAUCUGAAUGACCCACAAGUAUCUCUCUAGACCCUCCUCUUCUUGUCCUCUGCAAAGGCUAGUCUCCCCCUAAGUAACAGAUAAUCGUAAAAGUAGGGAAACUGAGUUGCCAGCAGCCAGGGUACUGCAGGUGUUUUGGCUAGAACAACUUGCCAUUUCCUCUCUGCAAGUAUUGGCUUAAGGUGGUGAUGGCUGGAGAUCAAAAAAGUAAUACUGAAGCAAAACUAACACAAUGGAAGUCAAGUACAAAAAGUAAUAGAACAGCAGUCUUCUCAGUCCCUUUCAUAAACAUGACGAAGGUUGUGAAACUACACAUUGUGUAAGAAGUCAGGAGCUCUGUUCACCUAGCAGGAAAGAACCAUUACAGGUUCCCUACAAAGUCAAGAAUUUACUGUCUCCCCCUUUUUUUUCCUAUAUAAACAAAUACAUUUUUCACUAGCAGUAAAAUAGAUGGAGGGAAUUAAUUUUUACUUAGUUAUUGUCUAGUGUGGCCAGAUGCCAGUUUGUAAGCCUGUCCUGGAUCAUAACCUGCCAUGAGUCUAGCCACAGCACCCUUCAGAGUGCCUUAUAUGCCACGUUCAGUGGUACUGGAUGCGAACAAGCUAUCGUUUCCUGGUGAGCAUGCAGACCUAGUGAGCAGACAGGCGCUGCAGCUCUAAGCCAGUUUUUAUAGCAGAGUACAGUCCUGUAAAGCCUUUCUCUCCUAAGUCACCCUAUCACAACAACGUUGGUGGGUUCCCAGGUCGAUCCUAACUGAAUUCCUGUACACAUAAAUAAGCUGUAACCAGUGGUCCCUCUUGCACCAGGACAUUCCUGUUCUGAACUCCUGAUUUGUAGUUAUUUCUAACAAGAAACCUUGCUCGCAUUUUAAAUUCUCGCCAGCCCCUUUGGGUAAGUGCAGAUCUGAAGCAUUUUGGGCUGGUCCCUGCUCAGUUAGAAAUGAUGCCUCAUGGCCACAGGGGGAGGCUUUCUGACACUUUCACAGAUAGAAAACACAAAAAAAUAAAACAAGAAGUGAAAAACAAAACAACCCCCUGCUGCUCCCUCUGCUCUAGCCUCAGAUUGUCCCACUUGGUUUCCAUUUAAACAUUGAGCAAGGCUGUGGGUAAGUUGUUUAAUAUGAACUAUUUAGUUACCCUGCUUUUACAAUAUUAAACUUGGCAAUUAUAAAUUUCAA